UUCUGCACUCCAGCCUGGGCGACAAAGUAGACUCCAUUUCAAAAAAAAAAGUAAAAAAUGUUCUAUAAUUGACUGUGGUGAUGACUAUCUGUUUGCAUCUUUGAAUAUACUUUACUGAAUUGUAUGCUUAAAAGGGGUGCAUUGUGUAGUGUUUCAUUUUUAUAUAGCUUUUCAAAUAAAUAUGACUUCAGAUUUUUUAUCUAAUCUGUUAAACACACUAAGUUUCCAGAUAUACCCUAAUUUACAUCACUUUUUAUUGUUCAUUUUUGUAUCAGUGAAAAUAGGAAUUCAGUUACCUUAGGUAUAUCAUAGUCGUUUACAUUUCAAAGUUCUCUGGGAACACAAUCUGUAACCUAUCUAAAAUAAAUUUUCCUUUAGUGUGAAAUGUACACUUCAGAGUUUAAUUGAAAUAUCUCACAGCUGUGGUUAGUCUGAUAAGCGUCCUUGCAUCCAUGCUAGGGAUGUGGGGUUCAAAGAGAUUGUAAAUGUGUGGGGAUUGGGGAAGAGAUGGGUGGAGGUCUCAAUGUCGUUAGCCGUCAAUAUCAGAAUGGAGCUAGACUCUUAUUACACACGGUGAGGUCAUUUUUAAGUGUCUGUGUUUGUGAACGGGGCUCACAGUUCCACCAGUGCCCUCUAGCCUCAGGCCAAGUCCCUGGCCCCUGGAGGAGUCAGACCCUGCUGUUCCAAUCUGGACUUGCCUGGGUGACCCUCUUGCUGUAGACUUGUGCCUUAAAGGGUCAGUACAUCUGGCAACUGAGGCUGGAAUUCGCUGCUCAAACUUGUGUCCCCGCGUUCAGAAACAGCUGCGACAGGAUGCCGGAGUCCAUCCAGAGGCUGGGAACAAGUUCAGCUUCUACGCAACUGCCCCUGCCUGGGACUGGUUUCCGCCUGGACAGAAGCAGGGUUUCCCCAGCGACACGACCUUUCGCAGCUCUGUCACUCCAGGUGAAGAGGGCGGGGCUUCGUGAACUGCCCAAUCAGAAGUGCCACAUGGAAGGUGGGUGGGGCAACGCGUCACAAAACAGGUGGACGUCGUACGCCGUUACGCAGCGAGGUUGCUGGGCGCCUCGACCGUCACGUGUAGGUAAUAGCUCCUGCUAUGAGCGCCGUGGCCAACGCUGUAUACGAUGAGGGAGGACGGCCAGACACCUGGAAGCCGGAAAAUGAUUCUUCAUGGAAAAAUCCAGCAAAGCCCACUCCUCCUGGAUGAAGUUCACAGCCACAUCUUCAAAGACCACCAAGCCGUGACAUAUCCCAGAUAUGUGUAGAGGAGGACAGGUGAAAGGCGGGAUUGGGAACCCCACAGACCACAGCUCCUCCCAGGAGAACCUCACACAUGAGUCUGGAUUCUCGCCGUGAUCCUCCCGUGGCCCCCACACAAUCUGGGGAGACGCGGGGCUGCGGGCACUGCGAGCGCUGUGCUGCCGAGAGGGCUCCUGCCUGGGGUCCGGCUGCUGGCCUAGCCCCACCCUGUAGCUGAGGGGACCCAGGGCCGAGCUGCGCCAGGGAGACUCGGGUCCGCAGACCCUGGAAUCACUGCUAAGAGGCCCGGGUCCCACCACAGCAGGUCCCAACCAGCCCCUCCUCCCGCCCAGCCUUGCACACUCACCAUUUCCCGGCUCCCAGGUGUCCCGGGUCCUCCCUUGGCUCCGGGGAUCAGUGCUGGUCACCACCGGACAGAAGCUGUGGUGGAGCCACCUCGGCCUCUGGAACGCUGAUUUCAGUGGGUUAGGGGAACAAGAGCCCCUUAGACUCGCGGAGCUUGGCCCCACCCUCCUGGCAGAGCACCUGAUUGGAUGAUUUACACAACCCUGCCCAGCACCCCUAGGAUAGAGAUCAAGCCCCACUCCCUAGGCCCGGGUUUCAGGAGAAGCCACGGAAAGCACGGAAGUGUGGAACUGGACUGACAGGUUCUAGCAACAGCCCUCCCACCCCCCCCUCCCCCCCCCACCGAGGCCAGGCUUCCUUCUGGAGCUUGGACGUGACCCCACACUGGGGCAUUCGCAUUUAAGAAAAACUUGCUCCAGGCUUUCCACAGUGGGCAUUGGCAUCUUCCUGUACUCACUGGGCCCUUUCUGUUUUUUCAUCCUGGACAAGUGUGAGCAGGCAAUUCCACACUCCGUGUCCAAUGGAGCAGUACCUUUGCUGAAAGCUACUGGACUGGAACAGGAGGAAGGGCCCAGAUGUCUUCCGGGGAUCAGGAAUUUGGGCUGGUGGGAUGGCCAAGGCUUCCUCACACGUUAUCUCAGUCUACCCAUUUUCAGGGAAAUGGCCAAGAAGGGAACAAAAAUUAAGUGCAUGGAAAAAAGAGUUAUACUACCACAAUAUUCUGUAAAGAAAUCAAAAGGGGCCGGGCGCG